rnacentral:tRNA from 1 species
AAUAAAAUGCCUGACUAAAGGAUUAUCUUGAUAGGAUAAGCUAUGUAUUCUAUACUUUUAUUA